rnacentral:rRNA from 1 species
UACGUAGGUGGCAAGCGUUGUCCGGAAUUAUUGGGCGUAAAGCGCGCGCAGGCGGUUUCUUAAGUCUGAUGUGAAAGCCCACGGCUCAACCGUGGAGGGUCAUUGGAAACUGGGGAACUUGAGUGCAGAAGAGGAAAGUGGAAUUCCGAGUGUAGCGGUGAAAUGCGUAGAGAUUUGGAGGAACACCAGUGGCGAAGGCGACUUUCUGGUCUGUAACUGACGCUGAGGCGCGAAAGCGUGGGGAGCAAACAGG